rnacentral:rRNA from 1 species
GGAAUAUUGGUCAAUGGGGGCAACCCUGAACCAGCCAUGCCGCGUGCAGGAAGACGGCCCUCCGGGUUGUAAACUGCUUUUAUUCGGGAAUAAACCUUUCUACGUGUAGGAAGCUGAAUGUACCGAAGGAAUAAGGAUCGGCUAACUCCGUGCCAGCAGCCGCGGUAAUACGGAGGAUCCAAGCGUUAUCCGGAUUUAUUGGGUUUAAAGGGUGCGUAGGCGGCCUGUUAAGUCAGGGGUGAAAGACGGUAGCUCAACUAUCGCAGUGCCCUUGAUACUGACGGGCUUGAAUGGACUAGAGGUAGGCGGAAUGUGACAAGUAGCGGUGAAAUGCAUAGAUAUGUCACAGAACACCGAUUGCGAAGGCAGCUUACUAUGGUUUUAUUGACGCUGAGGCACGAAAGCGUGGGGAUCAAACAGGAUUAGAUACCCUUG